UCCUCUUCUCUCCAUCUUGAGACUGUUUGU
rnacentral:piRNA from 1 species